CCAUCGGUGGUUCAGUGAUAGAAUGCUCGCCUGCCAACCGGGCGGCCCGGGUUCGAUUCCCGGCCGAUGCA